AGUGAACGCUGGCGGUAGGCCUAACACAUGCAAGUCAAACGGCAGCACAGGAGAGCUUGCUCUCUGGGUGGCGAGUGGCGGACGGGUGAGGAAUACAUCGGAAUCUACUCUGUCGUGGGGGAUAACGUAGGGAAACUUACGCUAAUACCGCAUACGACCUACGGGUGAAAGCAGGGGAUCUUCGGACCUUGCGCGAUCGAAUGAGCCGAUGUCGGAUUAGCUAGUUGGCGGGGUAAAGGCCCACCAAGGCGACGAUCCGUAGCUGGUCUGAGAGGAUGAUCAGCCACACUGGAACUGAGACACGGUCCAGACUCCGACGGGAUGCAGCAGUGGGGAAUAUUGGACAAUGGGCGCAAGCCUGAUCCAGCCAUACCGCGUGGGUGAAGAAGGCCUUCGGGUUGUAAAGCCCUUUUGUUGGGAAAGAAAUCCAGCUGGCUAAUACCCGGUUGGGAUGACGGUACCCAAAGAAUAAGCACCGGCUAACUUCGUGCCAGCCGCCGCCGUAA
rnacentral:rRNA from 1 species